GGGUGAGAGUACAAAUGGUUGUUAGAGAACAACUAGCACUAAGUGUGACUAUCACGAAAAAUCACUUGAAUGACUACUCUCUCGUCAGUGAUUGUCUCGAUACUGCAGUGGUGUGAGUGAUCCUUUGACCUGCAGUGUCAUCGACUAUUCCAGCAAGUUUACUGAGUUUGACUGCAUAUUUUUUUGAUUCCUAAUCAUUCGAAUCCUUAUUGUGUAUGAUGGGAUCUG
rnacentral:lncRNA from 1 species